CCUACGGGAGGCAGCAGUAGGGAAUCUUCGGCAAUGGGGGCAACCCUGACCGAGCAACGCCGCGUGAGUGAAGAAGGUUUUCGGAUCGUAAAGCUCUGUUGUAAGUCAAGAACGGGUGUGAGAGUGGAAAGUUCACACUAUGACGGUAGCUUACCAGAAAGGGACGGCUAACUACGUGCCAGCAGCCGCGGUAAUACGUAGGUCCCGAGCGUUGUCCGGAUUUAUUGGGCGUAAAGCGAGCGCAGGCGGUUUGAUAAGUCUGAAGUUAAAGGCUGUGGCUCAACCAUAGUUCGCUUUGGAAACUGUCAAACUUGAGUGCAGAAGGGGAGAGUGGAAUUCCAUGUGUAGCGGUGAAAUGCGUAGAUAUAUGGAGGAACACCGGUGGCGAAAGCGGCUCUCUGGUCUGUAACUGACGCUGAGGCUCGAAAGCGUGGGGAGCGAACAGGAUUAGAUACCCUGGUAGUCCACGCCGUAAACGAUGAGUGCUAGGUGUUGGAUCCUUUCCGGGAUUCAGUGCCGCAGCUAACGCAUUAAGCACUCCGCCUGGGGAGUACGACCGCAAGGUUGAAACUUAAAUGAAUUGACGG
rnacentral:rRNA from 1 species